rnacentral:lncRNA from 1 species
CUUGAACUCAAGAUCCUCAGCUCUCUCAGCCUCCCAAGAAGCUGGGAUUACAGGUGCCACCACCCUGGGUGGCUUCCCCGUCUCUUGAUGGGCCCUGUGCAAUGACCGUGGGGACUGGGUACCUAUUCUGUUCUCAGCCUUUGGGCUUCAACGGAGAACCUGACACACCAAGUGCCUUUCCGGAUCCUGUUCCUCCUCUGUGCUCCCUCGGACCCCGAGAGCUUUCCAUUUGGUUACCCAGAGCUAAGCUGGACACGUAGGUCAGUGCUCAUGAUCUGCCCUAAGGGCCACUUCUCCUUCCUUUUCUGUCUUGGUCUGAGGCACUUGGGGCAGAAACCAAGGAUCUCCCUGGACCACCCUACUCCCCCUCCCUGCUCCUGCUCCAUCCAGCCCCUCCCCAAGCCCUAGUGGCCUCUCCUGCCUGUUCCUGGAGCCUGCCUUCCCUCCCGCGCUGCCCUCUACUCUCCCUCAGCCCCUCUCUGCCUGCUGUGGUUCAGAUGUGGAAUGUCCCCACCCCACAUGCUAAAUGCCUGGUCCCCGCGUGGCACUCUUGGGAGGUGGUGGAACUUGUAAGAGCCUAGUGGGAAGUCCUUAGGUCCUUGGGGACCUUCUCUUGGAGUACUUCUCAUGCAGUUCCUUGAACCUCAUGAGAUGGUUGGAAUAAAGCAGCCAGCCUGCCUUGCCCCUCUGCCCUGCCUGUUCUCUCCCUCUCUGCUCCUGUUGGAGAUGUGACUGCUCCUACAUGUG